rnacentral:rRNA from 1 species
UCCCUGACCCUUUAAGGGUCCUGAAGGAACGUUGAAGACGACGACGUUGAUAGGCCGGGUGUGUAAGCGCAGCGAUGCGUUGAGCUAACCGGUACUAAUGAACCGUGAGGCUUAACCUUACAACGCCGAAGCUGUU